GCAAGUCCAGCUUUUCAUUGAAAUCCUCAACAGAUACAUCUGCUUCUAUGGAGAGAAAACGAUGCGGUGACUGUCCAGGUAUUAAACCAGCUCAUUCAGAAGAUCAGAGAAGACCUUCCCAACCUGGAGGCGAGUGAGGAAACUGAG